rnacentral:rRNA from 1 species
AUGGCUGGAUUGGAAGGUUUCGAGUUCUUCGAGAUCGUAAUUGAGAAAUCUUGCAGUAGGCAGAGGUUGCCUGACAUGUUUGCGAAGAUGCUCGCCGGCCGUGAGCCCCACAAAGUGAAGCUGCGGGAGGCCGGCAGCGGGCUUCACAGGCUGUGGGAUGUGUCGGUGGUGUUCGAUGGUGAAGGCCACAUGUACCUAGGGCCCGGCUGGGAGCAUUUCGCCCGCGCCCAUGAGCUACAGCUCGGGUACUUCCUUGUGUUCUGCUACGACAGCGACGCCAUGUUCACCGUGAAGAUGUUCGAAAACACCAUGUGCCGCAUGUACUACCAGCACGACGACGAUGCCAGCAGUGGGAGCAGCAGCGGGGAUGACAAGGAGCAGAGCGGGGAUGAUGAGGAGCAGAGUGGGCAAGAAGACGAGCAGAGCAGGGAUGACGACCUUGCUAUGGUGGUGGCUGACGACGACCUUGCUAUGGUGGUGGCUGACGACGACCCUGCUAUGGUGGUGGCUGACGACGACCUCGCGAUUGUGGUGCCUGACACUGACCUCGCGAUGGUGGUGCCUAACGAUGACCUCGUGAUGGUAGUGGCGCCGGCGAUUCCAUAG